UCUAACCACCCCCAUCCGGAUAGCGCUAACUAAGUAGAGGAGACGAGCCAGAGUUCAGAGCAACGUCUCCUAAUGUGACUCACUCACUCUCUCUCUUCCGAUCUCCUCUCUCCCAAGUUAUCCGAUCGUAGCUAAGACCUCUGCUACUACUACUAUGGUUGUUCCUGUGGAAGAAGCCAUUGCAGCGCUAUCUACAUUCUCACUCGAGGUUUUUCCUGUGAACACACUUUUUUCAUUUCUAUUCUUGCGGAAAAUGAUUAAUUCUUUUUUUUUUAUAUAUGUAUGUGUGUAUGUACGGGACUUACAUUUAGCUGGUGUAUUAUUUGUAAUUUUUUUGGUUAAAUUUUGUUUGAGAUGCGAUUAUCAUGUUAGCUUUGUGGAAUUUGAGUGGCAAUUGAAUGAAUUUUGCUUGAGAAAUGACCUGAAUGCAUGUACAUUUUAAUCAAUACAUGUACGAGGGUUGAGAUUUGAAGUGCAGUUCAUUCUGUUUUUUAUUUCUAUAUUUGCAUUAUAAUUAAUAAAUAUUCAUAGGAUGAGCAAGCAGAAGUGCAAGGACCAGAAAUUUGGGUGUUAAUAGAGAGAGGUGCAACUGAAAGUCCAAUUAGUAUGCGAAUUUUUUAUUUUCAUCGUUUUUAUUUAUUUAUUUUUCUAUUUUGAUGGUUCUGUGAGAAUAAUGAUGGAAUGUUGCUUUUUAUGUCGUGGGACAUAAAAAGCUCAACUUAAAUUUCAUUAGUGCUACUUCAACAAGUUUAGUUAUCACUAUCCUUGCUUGAAAAAUUAUAGCUAUAUUAGUGUUUUAAGUUAAUAGAAUUUUGAAGUCUAAAUGAAGGGGUUGACAUUAAAUUGCAUGGACCGUAAAUCUGAAGCAUAUGAGCUUGUUCAGCAAGGAUUAAAGGUGAGGGUGUUGUCUAAAAUUUUAAUGUUCUAUUUUGUUUUCAAAAUCAGUAGGGUCUUUAGUUCUUUAAGGCUUUUUUGUCUCUUUGCAGAAUGAUCUUAAAAGUCAUGUAUGCUGGCAUGUUUAUGGUCUUCUUUAUCGGUCCGAUAAAGAAUACAGGGAGGCAAUCAAAUACUAUAGAAAUGCAUUAAGGAUCGAUCCAGACAAUAUUGAAAUUUUGCGGGAUCUGUCACUGUUACAGGCGCAAAUGCAAGAUUUGGCAGGGUUUGUCGAGACAAGACAACAACUCUUGUCUCUAAAAUCAAAUCAUCGUAUGAAUUGGAUCGGCUUUGCUGUUGCUCAUCAUUUAAACUCAAAUGCUUUAAAAGCAGUUGAAAUUCUGGAAGCAUAUGAAGGGACACUAGAAGAUGAUUUUCCUCCUGAUAAUGAACGUUGUGAACAUGGGGAAAUGCUUUUGUAUAAGGUAUUCUAAGUGGUAUCUUCUGUAUAUU